GUGAGGAAUAUUGGUCAAUGGGCGGGAGCCUGAACCAGCCAAGUCGCGUGAAGGAAGAAGGAUCUAUGGUUCGUAAACUUCUUUUGCAGGGGAAUAAAGUGCAGGACGUGUCCUGUUUUGUAUGUACCCUGAGAAUAAGGAUCGGCUAACUCCGUGCCAGCAGCCGCGGUAAUACGGAGGAUCCGAGCGUUAUCCGGAUCUAUUGGGUUUUAAGGGUGCGUAGGUGGUUUGAUAAGUCAGCGGUGAAAGUUUGCAGCUUAACUGUAAAAAUGCCGUUGAAACUGUCGGACUUGAGUGUAAAUGAGGUAGGCGGAAUGCGUGGUGUAGCGGUGAAAUGCAUAGAUAUCACGCAGAACUCCGAUUGCGAAGGCAGCUUACUAAGCUACAACUGACACUGAAGCACGAAAGCGUGGGGAUCAAACAGGAUUAGAUACCCGUGUAGUCC
rnacentral:rRNA from 1 species